GAGUUUGAUCUGGCUCAGGACGAACGCUGGCGGCGUGCCUAAUACAUGCAAGUCGAGCGGAUUGAUGGGAGCUUGCUCCCUGAUAUCAGCGGCGGACGGGUGAGUAACACGUGGGUAACCUGCCUGUAAGACUGGGAUAACUCCGGGAAACCGGGGCUAAUACCGGAUAACUCAUUUCCUCGCAUGAGGAAAUGUUGAAAGAUGGCUUCUUGCUAUCACUUACAGAUGGACCCGCGGCGCAUUAGCUAGUUGGUGAGGUAACGGCUCACCAAGGCAACGAUGCGUAGCCGACCUGAGAGGGUGAUCGGCCACACUGGGACUGAGACACGGCCCAGACUCCUACGGGAGGCAGCAGUAGGGAAUCUUCCGCAAUGGACGAAAGUCUGACGGAGCAACGCCGCGUGAGUGAUGAAGGUUUUCGGAUCGUAAAGCUCUGUUGUUAGGGAAGAACAAGUGCCGUUCAAAUAGGGCGGCACCUUGACGGUACCUAACCAGAAAGCCACGGCUAACUACGUGCCAGCAGCCGCGGUA
rnacentral:rRNA from 2 species